UACGAAGGGGGCUAGCGUUGCUCGGAAUCACUGGGCGUAAAGGGUGCGUAGGCGGGUUUUAAGUCAGGGGUGAAAUCCUGGAGCUCAACUCCAGAACUGCCUUUGAUACUGGCAAUCUCGAGUCCGGGAGAGGUGAGUGGAACUGCGAGUGUAGAGGUGAAAUUCGUAGAUAUUCGCAAGAACACCAGUGGCGAAGGCGGCUCACUGGCCCGGUACUGACGCUGAGGUGCGAAAGCGUGGGGAGCAAACAGG
rnacentral:rRNA from 1 species